rnacentral:rRNA from 1 species
UGGAUUGGUGCCUUCGGGAACUGUGAGACAGGUGCUGCAUGGCUGUCGUCAGCUCGUGUUGUGAAAUGUUGGGUUAAGUCCCGCAACGAGCGCAACCCUUAUCCUUUGUUGCCAGCGGUUAGGCCGGGAACUCAAAGGAGACUGCCAGUGAUAAACUGGAGGAAGGUGGGGAUGACGUCAAGUCAUCAUGGCCCUUACGACCAGGGCUACACACGUGCUACAAUGGCAUAUACAAAGAGAA